rnacentral:rRNA from 1 species
UACGUAGGGUGCAAGCGUUAAUCGGAAUUACUGGGCGUAAAGCGUGCGCAGGCGGUUAUGUAAGACAGUUGUGAAAUCCCCGGGCUCAACCUGGGAACUGCAUCUGUGACUGCAUAGCUAGAGUACGGUAGAGGGGGAUGGAAUUCCGCGUGUAGCAGUGAAAUGCGUAGAUAUGCGGAGGAACACCGAUGGCGAAGGCAAUCCCCUGGACCUGUACUGACGCUCAUGCACGAAAACGUGGGGAGCAAACAGG